rnacentral:lncRNA from 1 species
ACACCCGAGAUCCGGAAGUGGCGCUCCGGGGAGAAGGUGGCUGCGGGUGCUGGGGCCGCUGCGCCGGCGGCGGUUCCCGAUGUGGAGGUCCGUCCUGGGUGGGGAGGCACCCAGGUCGCUGGUUCGAUGCAGAGGAAGAAACCACACCUAGCACGUAAAGCCCUGAAAAAAUAGAGGUGUACAGUAGAGUUUUCCAGAGGCUACAUGACAUGCAGUAUCACAACGGAAGCAAAUAUAAGAAUCCACCUGUCUUCUGUUAAAAUGCAAAAUGUAAAACAAUACCACUUUGCUAACUGUUUUUGUUUGGGGAAAUAUAGUUCAUAAAAAUAUUUAUGUUAACAUGUAAUUUAGGUUAAAAUAAAUUAAUAAAUAUUUGUAAA